CGCGCCCUGGCGCCGGCUGGACGUGCACGGCGCGGGGCAGCGGGGCUCGCGGUCCGCUCUCCCUGCGGGACACCGCUGGCCGCCGGCCUUUGGAAGAAACCCUCGUGCGCUCCCGUGGGGUCUCCUUAAGGGGCGGGCUGGGCGCCCCACCCUGGACGCCACCCUGGGCGGAAUCGGACCUGGCGCUUUCCAGCCCCUGAUGUCACUGAGACCCCGCCAGUGCCCGCUGGCCCGGGCUGGCUCCCAGCUGUGCGGCCCCUGGGGGUACAGGACUGAAGACGGGUAGGAGCGGGGAUCACAGCUGUCCACUGUCAAAACGCGCCAGCGCCCCUCCCCCGUGGGAGAGGGUGCCCCGGGGACCUGGCCCAGGCUGGCUUCCAUUGGCCUUGGCACUCGGCCUGGCCAUGGGGUCCAGGUCAGGGGGAACAGUAUGUGGGAGGGGUCACUUGAGGAAGUGGCUGAAGGGAGUUUGGGCUUUUGGGGAAGAAAUCCUGGGGCUGGAGGACAGAGCCUGGGGACCGGCCAGGGGGAGCGGAGGUGCGUCGCAGGGACCUGGAGCCACAGCAGCAGGGGUCUGUUGGAUCCCAGAGGAGGCUGUGACCAGGGUCCCGGGCAGAGCCUGCCCCCUGCCCAGGGUCCUUCUUCCCAGGCUCCGCUUGUCCCUAGAGGCAGGGGCUUCCCGGGCCCAGGGUACCCCAGAGCUGGCUCAGUGCUGUCCUGAGGUGGGCCAGGCAGCCAGGAAACCAGGGCUGGGGCCAGCAUCCGUGCCUCGGAGAAGGGAGACGGAGACCCUGCUGAACUUCCGCUGUGUGGCCUCUGCGGGAGACACAAGGGAAGCUGCUCCCCAGGAACUCCAGCUGUUGGGACACCGGGGACACCGGGAAAUCAGGAGGGUCCGCUCACACCCUCCCUGCCCAGAUGUGGCAGCCGCAGGAAGGGUUCAGGCCCCCUGAUGGCAGACCCCCAGAGCCACCUGGAGCUGGGGGCCUGGAGGCGUCCUAACUGGGAUGGCUGCUCUGGGUCCCUCUUCUGGUCUCGAUGGCCACGGGACUCAGGAGAUCAUGUUCUCUGGCUCUGAGAGUGUGGCAGGGAGCUUGGCCUCCAUGCUGACAGCCUGGGCUUGUGCUUCGCGGGAGGCUUGGUGAAUGGUCCUGGGCCUGCAGGCCCCAGGGAGGUAUCCAUCCUGCCCCUCCAGAUCCUGGGCUUCCUCCCUGGCACCUUGGACCCUGCACUUCCCCUAAGUGCUCUGGGCACCUGAGGAAGCCGACUGCAGGCCGGGGCUCUGUGCUCCUCAGUGUGGCCUCGUCCCCCAGAUCAGAGGCCCGGCUCCGUUGUGGUUUGUCUUUGAUUAAUAAAAAAUGGGGAAGCAAAUCAAUUACCCCUUCCACAAAUGCAAUUCAGACGGCAGGAAAAAAUCUCUCUUGAGGAUCAGGGAGCCUCUUUCUCUCAUGAAAAAUGUGGUGUCCUGAGAUGCCCCUGACCCAUCCUGGUGGGAACAGGGAGAAGAUUCAGAGUAUACAUAAGUUAAAACUUAGCCUAUGUUGGGGCUGGGACUGGGCUCAGCGGUAGAGCACACGCCUUGCACAUGUGAGGCCCUGGUUCGAUCCUCAGCACCGCAUAAAAGUAAAUAAAGGUACUGUGUCCAAUUACAACUAAAAAAAUUUAAAAAAAACCCAGUGUAUGUGGGGGCCCGAUGCGUGUUUGCUCCUCAGAGGUCCCUUCCCCAUGGGGGCCGUGGGCUCCUGAGGCUCGGGCACUCUCUUCGCCUGGCUCCUCACCCCUUGGAUUGGAUUUCAGGGCUGAUAUUCUGAGGGUUUCCCAGGUGUCUGCUGAUCAGAAUCUUCUGGAAGUUGGUUAAAUGCAGAUUCUUGGCCCCUCCUCCCUGAGAUCCUGAUACAGGGUCCAAGGAGGGACCCAGGAAUGUGGAUUUCAGGCCAUCCCGAGGCGGUGUGGUGGGCAUCCGCCGAGACCACGCCCCAGAGCAGAGGGCAGCCUCGGAGCACGGAGGACACAGACGGGGCGCAGCAGCACCAGCCCAAUACCAGCUCAGCUCCUGCUGAAUGACGUUGGUGAUGUCCCUUCCUUUGUCCGCGAAGCAGUGACCUAUCCAGGGUUUUGCCGAGUCGCCCAGGCUGGCCUUGAACCUGGGGUCCUCCUGCCCUAGGCUCCGAGUAGCUGGGAUGGCAGGAACAGGCAGGCCAUCCCUCCCUGGCCAUCAGGGGACUCCAGCCCCUGGUCAGAGAGCUUGGGAAGGGGACAUUCACGUGACCCAAGGCAGGCCAUGAGACCCAAUCCUGGGAAUGUAGCUCUCUUUCUUCGGGGAGCCCGGGCUGGCAGGACAGAAAGCCGGAGUUCCCGGAGUCGGCCGCGUGGACAGCUUAAGCCAAGAUGAAGCCAGACAGUCACAGAGCUGAGAGAUGGAGCCGGCAGGGAGACACCCGGGAACCUUGUUGGAGCACCUGGAUCCAGCUUUGCCUGAGGCCAUCCACCUCUUUUGGCUUAGGACAGCUGGCAUUGUUUCUGUACUUGCAACUGGUUCUAAGGCAGAGAGUGUGUGUCACUUCCA